CGUCUGAGGGAAGUUCUGGCCCAGACUGGAGUGGAAGCAGGUUUACGUCUUAAACUGGAGCUCACACCUGAAUCUGGGCUCCUGGAGGAUGGAGGAAUCAGACAGUUGGUGUGUUCCAGACAGAAAACACCUUUGGGCAAAGCACAUUUUUUGGCUCAUUAACUUCUGCUGCUCAGGAGAUAUUAACAAAACCACAAGUGCACAGCUCAGCUCCAAUAUCCAACCCUUCCACAUCCCACCAGGAUCCCAGCUGGUGCAUUUGCUGUACAAGGAUCUCCACAUGGAGAGGGAUUUGCUGAGCCCUGAGCAGAUGCUGAGAUGAGGAAGAGAACAGCAGGAAUCAGCAGAAAUGCUGUGAAGACAAAGAUUCAGGAGCUGUGAGACACCCCAAGCAGCACAGAGACCUGCUCUGCUUGGAUGCACAUCCCAGGGAAGGAGCUGCAAAGAAAGGAAUUA